rnacentral:rRNA from 1 species
CACGUAGGGUGCGAGCGUUGUCCGGGAUUAUUGGGCGUAAAGAGCUCGUAGGCGGUGUGUCACGUCGGCCGUGAAAACCUACAGCUUAACUGUGGGCGUGCGGUCGAUACGGGCAUCACUGGAGUUCGGCAGGGGAGACUGGAAUUCCUGGUGUAGCGGUGAAAUGCGCAGAUAUCAGGAGGAACACCGGUGGCGAAGGCGGGUCUCUGGGCCGAUACUGACACUGAGGAGCGAAAGCGUGGGGAGCGAACAGG